rnacentral:rRNA from 1 species
UACGUAGGGUGCAAGCGUUGUCCGGAAUUAUUGGGCGUAAAGAGCUCGUAGGCGGUCUGUCGCGUCUGCUGUGAAAACUCGGGGCUUAACCCCGGGCCUGCAGUGGGUACGGGCAGACUAGAGUGCGGUAGGGGAGACUGGAAUUCCUGGUGUAGCGGUGAAAUGCGCAGAUAUCAGGAGGAACACCGGUGGCGAAGGCGGAUCUCUGGGCCUUACCUGACGCUGAUGAGCGAAAGCUAGGGGAGCAAACGGG